CCCUCCGUGGUGUAGUUGGUAUAACACCGGACUGUAAUCUUUGCUGCCAUCCACUGGUCACCGGUGCUACUCCGGUCGGAGGAA